rnacentral:rRNA from 1 species
UACAGAGGUCCCAAGCGUUGUUCGGAUUCACUGGGCGUAAAGGGUGCGUAGGUGGUGAGGUAAGUCGGAUGUGAAAGCUCGGAGCUCAACUCCGAAAUGGCAUUGGAAACUACCUUGCUCGAGGGUUGGAGGGGGGACUGGAAUGCUUGGUGUAGCAGUGAAAUGCGUAGAUAUCAGGAGGAAUACCCGUGGCGAAGGCGGCUUCCUGGGGCACCACUGACGCUGAGAAGCGAAAGCUAGGGGAGCAAACGGG